rnacentral:rRNA from 1 species
ACGUGAUCUGAGUUCAGACCGGAGUAAUCCAGGUCAGUUUCUAUCUAUAAAGGGCUUUUUCUAGUACGAAAGGACCGAAAAAGCACGGCCUAUGUCUUACGCAAGCCGAAUUCACUAAUUUAUGACUUAAACUUAAUAAUAAAUUGACCUAUUACCCACCUCUAGAGAAGAGU